rnacentral:rRNA from 1 species
UACAGAGGGGGCAAGCGUUGUUCGGAAUUACUGGGCGUAAAGCGUGCGCAGGCGGUUCGUUAUGUCCGAUGUGAAAGCCCCGAGCUCAACUUGGGAAUGGCAUUGGAAACUGGCGGGCUGGAGUGUGGCAGAGGGGGGUGGAAUUCCACGUGUAGCAGUGAAAUGCGUAGAGAUGUGGAGGAACACCGAUGGCGAAGGCAGCCCCUGGGCCAACACUGACGCCUCAGGCACGAAAGCGUGGGGAGCAAACAGG